UGAGUGAUACAAAACAAAUGGAAAAAACUUUGCUGAAGAAUGGGAAAGAUUAUUGGAAUAAAAUUGGAAAAAUUUGUAAAAAAAUACAACCAAAACUUAAGAUAAGCUGGUCAAGUAGUAAAAGUGAGUUUUAGUUAUGAGGCCCAAUUAUUCCACUUGUAUGCUACUAAAGUCAGGAAAAAUGGAGGAGGACAUUCAGCACGAAGGGCAAAUAUUGAUUGGCUGUAAUCUUCCUUAUUGGAGGUGUAAUAGUGGGACUGAAAGAGGGGACCUCAAAAUGCUAGGAACAGGAAACCAGCUGCUGGAGAGGGCUGAUUAAUGUGUAGCCACUUCCUCCUUCCCCACUAAGCUUAAUGGAGUCUGGACCUGACCAAGAGUGAGUCAACCCCUUUCAACCUUCUUCUGUAUGUUGACAAUCUUCCCUCCUAUUACAAACUUCAGAGAUAGUCUUUGGUAUACUAAAUAGCUAAUUUAUUUCUUGGGAAAGAAAGAUAAAAGGGGAAAAGGUAGGACAGAGGGACUGGAGAGACCCUAUUCCUAUCUUUUCUAUAGUUAUAUUUGAUGGGAGACCAAACUAUAUUUCAAGGGUGAAAUGAUGAUUCAGGAUGACCUUCAAUAAAAAAAGAAACACUUUUCUUCAGCAAUAACCAGGACCAAACUGAACAAGUAUAAUCCCUCCUUGACUGCCACGUCACACUGCUAUGUGAAUGGCAUGCCAUGAAACACCUAGAUCUUUCUCAGAACUACUAUUAGGAUUAAUUAAGCCAUGGGGCUAAUGAGGACCAUUUGGAGUAAUUGGGAUCUUAGCAGGUAAGGACAGGGUAAAGAAUAGUGGGUAAGGUUUCUUUAAGGCCAGACAGAAUCUUGUGAAGGUAGCUGUUUAGAAUUCUGGGUAGCCUGAGUCAGAUGGUUUUCCAAUUGCCAACAGACUCCUGGAAGUUUUUCCUCUAGAAGAAGUGCUGGUAUUUCUGUUCCCUAGAACACUGAAAAAACCCAGUGGCAGGUGAAGGGGAACAAGUUAGCAUUUCUGGAAUAAGUUUGUGGGGGAAAUCAAGAGGAAACAGAAAGAGAGAAACAUAUUUCUCUCUUUGAAAUAUAUUUGAAACAUAUAUUUGAAAUAUAUUUAUUUCAAACACUGACCUUUGGGCAAGAAAUGGACUAAGGGAUAUACCAUAAAAUUGAUAAAGGAGUUAGUUUUGUCACAUGGCAAUAGUGAAGGAUAGCAGACUGAAAGAAUGAAUGCUGCUCUGGUAUAUCUGAAAUGUUAUAAGAACUAAAGGUGAAGUUUCUACAGCACUUUGGUAAAAAUUAUUUGUGGAGAAUGGAUCUUUUAAUUUAUUAAUUUAAAAGCUUUUACCUUCUGUCUGUAGUAAGCAAAUCUCCUUGAUGCAAAAUUAUUCUGCAAAAUGAUUGGCAGGGACAUGUGACAAAGAAUCACAUGAGAGACUAGGUCAAGAUUCUAAGGGGGUCCCAACUGAAACCAACCUUCUGGGUGAAGCUUUGGAAGUUAGCUGUGAUUUUCACCUAUCUACAAGAUUUCUGGCCUUUCUGAGAUACCAGCUUGAGAGGAGAAAAACUGCUUGAACUGGCUGUUGGCAGCUAGACUGAAGACCAAAGAAGAACCAUCACUUCGCUUCUGGACCUACUUUGGGACUUUACCUCUGGGAUCUUGGCUCAUUUACUGGACUCAGUUUGUGAGGUUCUGUUUGGGGGAUACUUAACUUAGUUAGCCUAGAUAAGUUAGCCUAUAGGAUAGUAUUAAGGAAAUUAGUUUGAGGAUAAGAUUAAGAACUUUUCCCUUCACCUUUGUUACCCUCCAUCCUCUCCCAUUUCCCAUCAAUAAACUUAAGAUAUUUA